CGUUAAAAUUUUUAUCUAUUCUAUUGUUAUAAACUAUUAUGAUUAACAAAAUAACUAAAUAGUGACACGUGAUAUGCUAAAUGUGCUUCAUGCUUACGUAAAGAGACUAGUUUUCAAUAGUAGAAAUUGAUGGAAUUCUUAAUA
rfam:Gossypium hirsutum cultivar TM-1 unplaced genomic scaffold scaffold804.1, whole genome shotgun sequence